AACCUAGCACACCUGCGGUGUGUACCUGCGGAAGGAUCAUUAACAAGCUGUGGGAGAUCGAUCAAUUUGAUCUCACACCUGGCCAACCUUGUUAACCUUAAAUAUAUUGCUUUGGUGAGCCCUGCUCACCAAAGUCAAACCCUAAACUCUUGAUUGUUUCUGCUGUCUGAGCAUGCAAGUGCAAAAUUUAGUUAAAAACUUUCAGCAACGGAUCU
rnacentral:misc_RNA from 1 species